UGGGCUGACCUAGCUCGCUGCGCUGAGCAGGGAGGUGAGUGAGUGGGUGGGAGAGCCUGGCUGCCCAAGGCUGGCGGGUGAGGGAUGCGGCGGCUUGGACCCCUGCUUUCGCCACCGAUGUUCUUCAGAGCUGUCUGGAGCUUGGUGCUGAGGAAAGGAGGACCCAGGAUGCGGCAGAUGCACAGCCCGGGAAGCGCUGCCCACAGCAAGGAGAAGAUGCCCCCCUACACUAACUACCAUGCCCAGCGCUCCUACCCCAUGCCCGAUGAACCCUUCUGCACAGAGCUCAACGCUGAGCAGCGGGCCCUGAAGGAGAAAGAGAAGGGCAGCUGGACCCAGCUGACCCACGACGAGAAGGUGGCCUUGUACCGGCUCCAGUUCCAUGAGACCUUCGCGGAGAUGAACCGUCGCUCCAAUGAGUGGAAGACAGUGAUGGGCUGCGUCUUCUUCUUUUUUGGAUUCACAGCUCUGAUGAUUUGGUGGCAGCGGAUCUAUGGUGGCUGCCCCAGCUCCAGCCAUUAAAGCCUACAUUCCACCCAAGAAGAGAGAAGAGAGACCUCUUUAAGGUCCAGAAGUUGCGCACGCCACUUCUGCUCACCACCCGUUGGCUAGAAGCGAUCACAUGACUGGGUCUAGCCACAAGGGAAGCUGGGAAAUGUAGUUUUCAGCAAGGCCGUCACAUGCCCAGCUGUCUAUUACUACUGAAGAGUGAUUCUCAGAGUGUGAGACCCUGGACCAACACCAUCACUUGGGAACUUUUAGAAAUGCACAUUCUCAGCCCCAGUCUGGAUCUACCAAGUCAGACACUUUGAGGGUGGAGCCCAGCGAUCUGUGUUUUAACAAGCUCUCCAGAGUGAUUCUGCUGCCCACUCGGGUUGGAGAGGCACUACUCUGGAAGAAGGGAGGGGAUGUUGGGGAAGAGCUGGCCGUCUCUGUGCCAGCUGACCUCACCUCUGAUGGCCUCACCUUCUUUCUUCUUCUGCGAGAGUGUGAUGUGAAUUCCCGCUUGGCUUGAGGAUGAAAUGAGAGAGCCUUUGGGAAAAAAUUUAUCCUAGCCCAGUGUUUGGGGCUAAUAGGGGCCCAUAAAGAUAUUUUCCUUCUUUACCACACACUGGGGUAGAAAGUACCAGUGACUCAGGCAGGCCGGGUCAGCCUCAGGGACAAAUGGACCAGGAAGUAAGUGUUCCCUAAGAAGCCCGUCACCCUGACGGAUGAGUGGAAGGCCCAGCAGCUCCAGCGCAUCCUAGACAUGAAGGGCAACCCCGUGCAAGGGCUGGCCUCCCGGUGGGACUAUGAGAAGAAGGAGUGGAAGAAGUGACAUGGCAUCCUGGCUGCUGUCCCUGCAGCUCCACCCUGGCCCAGGGCCUGUGGACGGCCCUUUCCUCCUCUUAAUCCCAAUAAAGCUGGCCUGUUCUCUUCUGCCUUCAA